rnacentral:piRNA from 1 species
UGAAUGUAACUGUUCUGCAGGCUUUCCUAG